CCGCCUGCCGAGGGGUGAGCGGGGUGGGGGUGCUGGGACCUCCGCUCUGGCCGCCAUGAGGGUUUCCAGCUGGCGGAGGCUGAGCUGUGUGACCCGGCUCUGGGUGCCAGGGGCUCUCUGGACCAUGCACCCGCAGGUCCGGCUCCUCACCAGCGUUCCCCAUCGAUGAAAACCCCGCGUUUGGCAGCAGCGCGACCCGUGCCCGUGGGGCUGUGAGCCCACAACUGCACGUGAGGCGCAGGGACAGCUUGGAGCGGCGUGGGUGAGGGCUCAGCACACACCAGCACGGGGAGAUGGGCAAAAAACGGCAGUGGUUUGGACGUUUUGCCGCAGGUGGGGGCUCGCUGGGCCAGUAGUUGUCAGAAGAAAAGGAAUCAGCUGUUGGUGCCUCUUUGAAAGAACUUGAGAAGAUGGGAACUUCCACAGUAUAAAUGGCAAUACUUUUCAGGACCUGGAUGUGGCAGCUUGAAACAAAGGUGGUUGGGGGCAAGGUGUAACAGGAAUUACACACAUAAUUUGUUAAUUGGUAAUCCCCUCUCACUGCUUAAAAUAUUUUUCUUC
rnacentral:lncRNA from 1 species